ensembl:lncRNA
AGAGAGGGUGCCGGGAAGCCUGGAAAGGGGAGGGGCCCAGACUCAGGGGUCACCUGGCCUAGAGUCAGAAAUUCUUUUCCACAACAGCAAGAGAGGGUUGGGUGAGAUAAAAGGAGGGACUUCCUAGACUGGAGAAGGUGCUGUGGAAGUGAAGGUUCCUAUUUGGCAGGACCCCAGAGUACCCAGGCCCAAACUCAUUCCGGAUAUGGAGAAAGUUGGGCCUGAGUUGGGGGGGACAGGAGAGAGAGCGUGGGGCGGGCCGCCUCGGGGGCACAUGACGGCGGCGCCCGCCCCGCCCCGCGCCCGCCCCCUGCCCGGCCGUGGGGGGAGGAGACGCGGAGGUUUUAAAGGCGAUCUGGGCCGGCCGGCGGGGUGGGGCGCGGCCGGCGUCGUCUCGCCCGCGCGGAGCCCGGCUCCCCUCCCCCGCGGGGAAGUGGGGUCCGGCCCGGGAGAGACUCGCGGGGCGCGGGCGGCAGCAACUUUCCCGCUCGGGCCGGGGACGAGAGAGGGGCCGCGACCGGCCGGCCCCGGAGGCAGGAGCUGGAUCCCACUGCGGGCGACAGCAGGUAGACUUGCGGGGGCCUGGCGGCCUGACCCCGGCGUGGAGCAGCCGAGGCCACAGCCCUUGGUCCUCACUAGAGGCCUGAUGUCUUGUGCUGGCCCCAGACUGACCUCUAGAUUUGCAGGCCACCGAACCCCUGGGCUGUGCGUGACCUUCCCUCCUGGCCAGGCCCCACUGGCCAUCUGAGUGUCUAGGAAGUGCCCUGGCUCCCUGUACCUGCCCCCUUCCCAGCCUCCAGCAGCUGCCCGCCCCUGGCAGGGUGGCCCGAGAAGGUGCUACACUCCGAUCCUGCUUGCUGUCCCCUCACUGUGCCUUGGCCGGCUGGGGUUCCUGGGGAUGGGAUUUGAUGCCAGUCACAAAUCACAUUGCCAGGGAUUUCCAACUGACCUUGUGCUCUGCCUUGGAGGCUCCAGUUGCCAAGGAUGACUGCCUAUCUUGGGUACUGGGUGAGAGAGAAGCCCAGCAUGACAACUGGCCUGAGGAGCAGGGCUUAGCUGCUUGUGAGCAAGGUCCGCAGCAAGUCGUGUUCACAGUGGCUAAGUUCCGCUCCCCCGGGCCCCAUCUCCUCAGACUCUGCUGCCCACCCUGCUCUGCCUCCUUCUCCCUGGGCUCCGCCUCCUGUGCCUACUGAGCUGAAACAGUUGAUUCCAGUGCACUGGCUCAGUUCAGCAGGAACAGGAGUCCAGCCCCCUAGGAGCUGGCACCCCUACAGAAUGUCUGUCAUGACUUGAGACCUGGAUGGAGUAGGGACCUGGGAGGAGUGGGCCCAUCAGUUGUGCCUAGGCCCAGCUAUCUGCUAUAGCCCUUCCUCUAACCUUCAUCUGGAUAUGCCACUCCACAUGGCCACACCUUGAGAUUUUUUAUGGUCCCCACAGAGAAGAGAUGGAUGAGUGGCUGACCCUUGCAUAAAAGGCAGGCCAGCUGUACCCCCUCAGGGCCUGCAGCCCUUCUUCUCAUAAGCCCAGCGGGGCCCAGGCACCACCCCUUACACCUUCCCUGCAGUCACUUACCCAAGAGGAAGCUGCUUUUGGCCCUCUGACAGUUAAAUGCCAACUCCCAGCUUCCGCAACAAAGCACUGACCUUACCCGGUGUGCUUGGUGCCCCACGAGGCCUGCAGCUUUCCACUGGAGACAGUGAUUCAGGGAGCAAGUCCACAGGGCCCUAAAAGGGUAGGAACAGAUCCACCCCUUCCCCUGGUACUGGGGCUUGCUGGAGUAGUCUCCAGGCUUGGAAGUUAAAAAGUUGCCUGUAUCUCCAAACCAGACAGGAUGCAGGCAUUGGCAUGGGGUUAAGUUACACUUCCCAGAUCACCCAGUGUCCCCUCCCAACCCUGGGUAGCGGCAAAUGGAGGCUUGGGUGGAAGAACAGAGAGGUGGAGCUUGUAUUGAAUGUUGUGCCUGUUUUCCAAUUAAAUAAAAGCUUCCCAGCUUCAUUCCUUAAGGUCUGAUGUUUCUUCAUUCCUGCCUCCCAUGUGGACUGUUGGCUUUUUUCUUUUCUCUUAUUUUGAGACAGUGUCUCUCUGUAGACCAGGCUGACCUGACUCAGCCCUCCCUCGGUGUCUGGAGUUUUGAGAUAUUGGUACACCCUUACACCCUACUCUGGCCCUGACCUCACCUAUCCCUAACCCUGCUGAGCAGGUGACAUUUGGGGGCAGCUUGGACCGGAGGCAUAACUCAGGCCUGGGGUGUGUGAGAGAAUUAAUGUGUAAAGGAACUUUGAUUGGAGGUGUGAUAUGGAGUCACGAAGCCUACUAGGACAUUAGUGGCUGGCAAACCUGUGCUGCACUCCAGUUCCAUGAGGGAAAUUGCUAACCCAAGAGCAAUGUCCUAGAUCCAAGAAAGUAUCUGCAUACGCCAGAAUGUACUGGCCAACAAGGUGCCAGGGAUUCAGGCACCUUAGGUACUGAGGGGCCUACUAGAAGUAGCCUCCGAUUGGCUCCCUUGAGCAAACGAGCACCAUCCGCCAAGUCAUGGCCAGCUCCCUUAGUGCCUGACCUCGCGCGCUGCUCCAGCGCCCCAUAGCGGCCAGCUCCCCUCGACCAUGACUGAGUGUGUUAAUGGAUAAAGGAUACAAAGAACCCGAGAAUGAGAAAACCAAGGCAACGUCCCCUGGAUGAAUCCAUCUGAGAACUGGGAGGCUCAUCCACAGCCCACAUGUGCAAUGGGCUCGCCACGGCGGGCCCAGGAGUUCCCUUCAGUUCCAGGCGUCCCCAGCUGCACUCGGUACCUGGCACGACCUCCCGAACUCGUUGUCUCGAGCCAGGCGCCCUCUGGUGGUCAUUUCUUGUGGUGUACGUGCAGCGCAAUCCUGGCAGUCAGGCUGUGUGCCCUUUGCUAGAGGCAUUAUAAAAGCCCGACUUUCAGGGAGUCUGUGACAUGCAGCAGAGCUGCCAGCAAGAAACUGCUCUUUUUUUUUUUUUUUUUUUUUUUUUUUUUUCAGACAGGGUUACUCUGUGGCUUUGGAGGCUAUCCUGGCACUCGCUCUUGUAGACCAGGGUGGUCUUGUAGACCAAGGUGGUCUCGAACUCACAGAGAUCCACCUGCUUCUGCCUCCCAAGUGCUGGGAUUAAAGGCGUGUGCCACCAACGCCUGGCAAGACUGUUCUUUGUGUCACCAAGAUGCUACUGGAGGAAGCCAGCAGCCCCUCCUAUCCCACUCUUGAAGCUGUGCCCAAAAACCAAAAUGGAAAUUGUUUUGGUUAAUCGAAC